UAAAAAGUUUUUUUUUUUUUUUUUUUUUUUUUGUAGAAUUGAUUUUCGUUUGAAAAAAUAAUUUGUUAAUGGUUAUAGUGCGUUUAGCUGAAUUUAAAUAUAAAAGUGAUUUUUCAGAAGUGAUUUUGUAAAGUUGUUUGGCAAAAUUUUUAUGAUUUUUGCAUAUAAUAAUAUUUUUACUAAAUUUUAUUUUAAAAUUUAAAUUUGUAAAGAAUUUAAAAUUCGAUGUUUUAAUUUUAAAAAUAAAAUUUCAAAUUUUAAAUUUUAUCUUAAAUUUAAAAUUUAAAAUUUUAAUAUCUAAAUUUUAAAUUUUAAAUUUUAAAAGUUGAAAUUAAAAAAAUCAAAAAUGAAUUUAAAAAUUUAAAUUUAAACUUUGAAUCAAAAAUUAAAGUAAAAAUUUAAAGUUUGAGUUCAAAAUCAGAAUAUGAUUUUAAGAGGAAAGAUUUUAGUUGCUUCUGAUUUUAGGUGAUCUAAAAAAUCAGAAAACCGAUUCUAAAAAUUAGAAUUAAAAUUUGAAAACUAAAUUGUCAAAUACUCUAUUGAGCGAAAAAUUACUUUUGAACUCAGAAUUACUUUUGGACACCUAAGCCAAACAUCUUGUUUGGUAUGGUAUAGAGUUUGAACUCUCUUAUUAAAGAGUAAGGACUACAGGUAGAUAGAUGUAAUUAAGAACUUCAUGAACAGGGCAAAACUAGUAUUUUCACUCUUAUGAAGCACGGUUUAAGAUCUCGAUUUACAAAUUAAAUCGAUCAAUCACCUUCUAAGAUGGAAAAAGAUGUGUCAGGGCAAAUGUGACUAGACAUGGGUCUGUUGGCGGCUCAUGAAAUUAAAUGCGAAAACGAAUGUGCUCCCUGUUGCAGUAGCAGCUGCGCCGGUGCAUGUCGAUUCCUGGUGUUUGCUAAUCGGCAUAUAUCAGUGAUUUAGAUUUGAUAGGAGAAAGAAAGAAACCUACCAAAAUUACGUAGGGCCCAGAUGGAGAGCGAUUCUUCUAACUGGAGGUGAAUAACGCAGUGUCCUCAUAUCAAUUAUACAUCCACUUUGUUUCUAUUAGAAAUUGCAGGCAUAGUGUGCAUCACAUGUGAUGAAUAAGAACGAUAGAAAAAAUAUUCUCUUUGUUUCUGAGAGUGAUAGCGCAAAACACAACCAAUUCCAUUGAAAUAUGAUUUUUUUUUUUUUCUCGACUAAUUGAUCAUCCGCUCCUGUUAGAUCCAGCUGAGUAGCUAAGAUUACUUUAGAGACUAUUUGAAUAUUGUAUGUAGUUGUAAUUAAAUGUAUAUUUUAAUUUGGUGUCUACAGUUUGAUACAUUUAAAUUCAACUGCCAUAGUUAUAACGGCAGCACUUUCGACUACAUCUAAUAUAUUAAACAAGAUGUCUAUAGUCAUAAAUAGUCCUGCAUUUUAAGUUGCAUGUAUAUAUUUCCAACUAUAAUAUAUUUACAAAUACAUCUAAACAAAUGGUCUCUUGCAUAUUAUGUUGUCAUUGUAAUGAUCAUUAGAUGAGUGACUAUUCUUUUUCUUCUUUUUUUCAUCUCUUAUUGUUGUUAUCCUUCCUUCGUUCCUUUGUUGGAGUCAUGUUGAGGCAGGAGUGACUAAUUGUGGUGCAUUGCCAUGAAUUAUCACUUUCAAACCUCUCGAGAAUCUCCAAAGUGCAGUACACGAUAAAGAAUAUGAAGAUAGUGUAAUUGUUGCACGAGAUACACGAGCCUUCAUAAGAUUAAAAAUGAACGGUGACAAUAUUUGGUCCUAUAAAACAAGAUCUCCUUGGGGCCCCUCAAUUAGCCUCCUCUCUCAUCUUGCCCUCCAAAUCUGUUGUCUUGUGAGGCCCAGGAAUGAUAUGUUUAGGCUACCACAAAUAUUUUGUCUACAAUGUAUAACCUGAAAAAUACAUUAUUUUGGUGACUAUCACUAUUUAAAACACUUAAUUCAUAUCCAACUACUUAAACUAGGACGGACCGUCCCUAGCGCAAGCAACUACUUGAACUAGGACAGACCGUUCCUAGCACAAGUAGCAAAGGACUUAAUGGUUAAUUAGUACCCGAGUUUCAAAUUCGAAUCCUAAUUGAUUUAUAUUUUCAGCUAAAUUUAUUUUUUUUAAAAUAAAUAAAGCGGAUAGCAUGUUAUCUUUUUCUCCCAACUAUUUGAACUAGGCAUGUUACAAUUGAAGUCACUAUUGGAGUAUUGGGUGGAAAUGAGUGUGUGCUCAAAAAACUCAAAAAGAGUCGAAGUGGCCCCACCAAAGUUUUGCCCAUAAUUGGAAGAUUAGAAGUUAAGAGGUUUUUUGUGCACAUUUAUAUAUUACUGAUAAAACCCUUUUUUUUUAGGGGGUGUUUGAACUUUGAAGAUGAUAAAGUUACAAAUUAAUAAAAAAUUAUUAUUUCUAUAUUAUUUUUCACAAUAUUAAUUUUGUACGAAGUGUUAACACCAUUAGUAGAGUUCAAUUGAAGUAAAGGAUAUUCGAAGUGAUAUUAUUGGUUUUGUUCCACUGACAUUUUACGGAGACAAAAAUCUUUUCUAAAAUUGUUACAACAUUAAUCUCCCUUAAAACUUAUUUUCGUAGUUAUUUUAUUUGUGUGGUAAUAUGAUUUGUUGAUUGGUAUGUACGUAACUCAAAUUUUAUCCUCUCAAUAGAGGAGGAUUGGAAUAGCUCAGUCCCCAUAUUAAUUUAGUCAAUAAUUUAAGAAGCGUAAGUUGUUAUUAAUAAAUUGAAAUAAGUCAAUGUUUUAAUGAUAAUUUUGAUUGUUCUAGCAUUACAGCGGAUUCUCUAAAGUGUUACUCUUACAUGCUAGUAUAGAAAAUACACAUGAUGUGGGAAGUAGUAAUUAAAUAAAUUUAAGGAUAAACUUCAAAUACCACUCGUGUGGUUUUGUAUUUUCUCACUUUAAUACCAUAUGGUUUAAAAUGUAUCAAGUUAGUAUCAUGUCGUUAAACUAUACGCAAAAAACUUCAAAUAUCCCACUUAGGUUUAUUGAUAUUCACUUUAGUACUUUUUAGUUUUAACUUUGUCACUGAUUUAACGAAGAAAAAUUAGUGAAAUGGAUAAUAAAAAGAGAAGAAUGAAACCACAGGAUACUAAUUCGUUACACUUUAAACCACAGAAUACUAAAAUGAAAAAGUGUGAAAUCGCAUGAAUAAUAUUUGAAAUUUUUUUUAAAUUUAAAAACACAUCAACAGAUCAGAAGAAAAGUCCGUCUCGAGGGGCGUCCAAAUCAUCAUCGAUUUCGCAUUCAAUUCUCACCACCUGUGGACGGAGGAAUACUACACGGUCGCACUUGCACCACGUCAUUAAUAAUAAGCCAAUCAUACAUCUACUUUUCAAACAAAAAUAUAAUAAAAAUAUUUUUUUACAAUCAUGAUGAAAUAUAUAUUUAUAAAAAAAAAUAUUUAAUUAAUUUAUUACGCCACGUCAAUAAUAUACCCGUCGCAUUAUAGAAUUUUUCCUCCGGACGAGAGGACACCGACCUCCGCCAACCCCACAAGAAAAAUGAAGGUUGAAGCAGCCACCCACGUGGGUUGUCCCCUACUUGCUCUUUGCCCAUCGCGGUCCAAGUCACACGCACCGAAAAGAACUGAUAACAAAUUAGUACCUGGCCACUGCAUCAAAAAAAAAAAAAAAAAAAAAAAAAAAAAGCAUACAACUCUCUUAUAUGAACCAAGUUUUCAUCGUAUAUCGUACGUAGACAACUAAUUAAUGUUGAAUGCAAUGGUUUGCUUGCUUUUCAUUUUGGCUAUUUUUAAGGGGGAGGAUUACUUACUAUUUUGUUUGCUUUUUGUUGGAGCCAGUUUUUGUGAAUCCUACGUUUAGUUCAUCGAUCGCAAGUAAAGAAAGGGGUUAUCUCGGUAAUUUAAUAAUAAGAUAAAUUUUAGUUUUUUUUUUUGUUUUAGCAUAUUUUUAUUUUGUCACUCUGUCGUUUAAAAAUUACGCUUAACUAUUUUACAUUUUUACAAAUCUGUUAUAAAAUAAGAUAACAAAGUAAUUUUUUUUUAAAUCGCGAAUAUAUUCAGUUUAAUGAUAGAUCGUCAUAGUGAAAUAAAAAUAAAAUUAUUAGAGUAUUAAGUAUAAUUUUUUGAAUUUAUAUGAGGCAAAUAAAAGCAAUGCGCGUACGGGUUGAUGUUCUAGUUUGAGCUUAAUGUAAGACACGGCGCUGGAUUCAGGUGUAAAGAGGAUAGAUAAAACAUUACGGGCUGGGCCUCAACCUGGUUGGGUUCAAAAAAUGAAUCCUGUCUUGGCGCACUGCAUAUAUUUUUUGCUUUUGGCAACCAAGAUGAAGGUCUAAAUCCUCUUUUUUCUCUUUUUUAAUGUGUAAGCGAAGCUUGAUUUGCAUCACACAUUGGACACAUACUGUUGAAAUCACUCUAAAGAAGAUUUAAUAUA
rnacentral:lncRNA from 1 species